rnacentral:tRNA from 1 species
ACCCAAAUAGCUCAAUUGGUAGAGCCUUAGACUAUCGAUCAAGAGGUCCCUGGUUCGAUCCCGGGAUUAGGCA